UUGGUUUGCAAAAGUUUAAAGUUAAAGUAAUGGAAAGUGAAAGUGACGAGCAGUUGUCAAAGUUCCUGGAGGAUAUUAAAAUGGAGUCCGUAAGGAAAUUCCUUGAAGUGCACCCUUACACAAAUACUUAUUAAAUAAUAAAAAACAUUACCUUAGAUUUAAAUAUUUAUAAGCUUGUAUAUAUACCUUAAUGUUAUAAGAGAUUUAAGCCUGUAAUUAAUCACAUAUUAUAUACAUAUCCCAUAUAUAUUACAAUUCAAUAAAAGUAAAAAACUAUUACAAGCCAAA